UCUGACCCUCUGAUCUCCUCCCAUGAAGACCCUGGUGACACUGGGCCCCACACAACCCAGGGUGACCCCCCCUGCAUUCUACUGAAAGGGAAUAGACACAAGUUGGGGGAGGUGGAGGUUUGGGGGAAUAAUGUAGUCCCAGUAUGUCCCCCAAGGCUCCUCCUGUGGGAUCUUGGUCCUCAGGGUGGCCACGUGGAAAGGGACCUUCAAGAGGUGGAGCCUCGGGUGGGAGGUGGAAAGAAAUUGACCAAAUUAUGCUAUGUACAUAUUUGAGUGUGCCACAGUGACCACCUUUGUGUAUAUCUAUAAAGCAUUAAUAUAAAGAUCUAUAAAUAGAAGAGGACGGGAGGAGGGAAAAGGGAAGUGCUGGGGACCCAAGUGGAGCAGAUCACAGUCUGAUCAUGUGAAAGUGAACCCCAAUAUUCUGUGUAACUGCAAUAUGCUAAUAAAAAC
rnacentral:lncRNA from 1 species